GAUGAACGCUGGCGGCGUGCCUAAUACAUGCAAGUCGAGCGAACAGAUGAGGAGCUUGCUCCUCUGACGUUAGCGGCGGACGGGUGAGUAACACGUGGAUAACCUACCUAUAAGACUGGGAUAACUUCGGGAAACCGGUGCUAAUACCUGCUAAUAUAUUGAACCGCAUGGUUCAAUAGUGAAAGACGGUUUUGCUGUCACUUAUAGAUGGAUCCGCGCCGCAUUAGCUAGUUGGUAAGGUAACGGCUUACCAAGGCAACGAUGCGUAGCCGACCUGAGAGGGUGAUCGGCCACACUGGAACUGAGACACGGUCCAGACUCCUACGGGAGGCAGCAGUAGGGAAUCUUCCGCAAUGGGCGAAAGCCUGACGGAGCAACGCCGCGUGAGUGAUGAAGGUCUUCGGAUCGUAAAACUCUGUUAUUAGGGAAGAACAAAUGUGUAAGUAACUAUGCACGUCUUGACGGUACCUAAUCAGAAAGCCACGGCUAACUACGUG
rnacentral:rRNA from 1 species